rnacentral:lncRNA from 1 species
UUCUACAAAUUUAUUAUUUUGGGCUUUCACUUGUUUUUUUUUUCUUUUUGCAGAUACAUUUAGGAAUAAUUGUUUUCCUGCCUUUACCAAACGAAUUUUUCCUUCAGCAGUUCAACCUACUAGUACAGUAUCACAGUGGAUUCGCCUUCUAAGUCUUAAAGGACUUUGUUGUGGAGAGAUUGUCCAUGAAAAGGAAUUCAGUUAAUUUUCGAUGCUAAUGAAGCAACUGAUCCAUUUGACGUAAGGGAGAGAACUGGAAAUUAAUUUGGAAACCACCCAAACAGAUUGUCUGCAGUGGUACUCUCCUAGAUUUGGAUUGCACAUUUCACAUUUGAACGCUACUUCUUCACUUAAGAUUAUCCAAGAAAAGAGAGAGACUUAAAGUCAGCUUGGUCAUACUGAAACCAGCAAUGUCUAGAUGGGUUUCAUCUUUCCUGGAGUAUAUACUUGAUUUGCUGCUUUGUCUUCACCUUGAACCAUUAUGCAGUCAAUUUUCAACCUACGAAUGAGAGCAACUGGAGGUUUCUUUGACUUCUUUUGAAACAACAAAUUUUCUGCUAUGGUAUUCCUCCUGGAUUUGGUUUGCUUUUCACACAUGCAAACUUUGGAAUG